rnacentral:lncRNA from 1 species
ACAUACAAUGCUAGGCUGCAACAGAAACUCUUGGUAAUUAAUUUGCUCCUCAUGAAUAUAGAUUCCAUAAGCCUUAUCUUUGUUUUUAAAAAUAAUAAAAACGUUUUUCAGUCAAAUCUGAAUUUACAUAUUUUCAUUUAUACCCUAAUCAGAUCUGCAAGGGUUAAAAAUAUUUCAUAUAAGUAAUGAGGCGGUGGCAAUGUUGUUAAACUACAACGCAUUCCAAACAAGCUUGAACCCCUGGUUUAUUCAAGAGGCCAUUGUGAAAAGGAACUACAUGAGGCCCCAUAAAACCCUUUAUUGUUUGUAGUUCUUUAUUUAAACAUUUUCAUAUUUAUCUUGUAAAUAGGUUACCCAUAA